rnacentral:misc_RNA from 1 species
UUGAGGCACUGUGUUCCAUCCAAUA